UGCCAGCCGGCGCGGUAAUACGGGGGGUGCAAACGUUGCUCGGAAUUAUUGGGCGUAAAGCGCACGUAGGCGGUCCGUUAAGUCGGAUGUGAAAGCCCUCGGCUCAACCGAGGAAGUGCAUUCGAAACUGUCGGACUUGAGUAUGGGAGAGGGUCGCGGAAUUCCCGGUGUAGAGGUGAAAUUCGUAGAUAUCGGGAAGAACACCAGUGGCGAAGGCGGCUAACUGGUUCGGUACUGACGCUGAGAUGCGAAAGCGUGGGGAGCAAACAGGAUUAGAUA
rnacentral:rRNA from 1 species